rnacentral:rRNA from 1 species
AGUGAACGCUGGCGGUAGGCCUAACACAUGCAAGUCGAACGGCAGCACCGUAAGAGCUUGCUCUUACGGGUGGCGAGUCGCGGACGGGUGAGGAAUACAUCGGAAUCUACUUUUUCGUGUGGGAUAACGUAGGGAAACUUACGCUAAUACCGCAUACGCCCUUCGGUUGAAAGCAGGGGAUCUUCGCACCUUGCGCGAUUGAAUGAGCCGAUGUCGGAUUAGAUAGUUGGCGGGGUAAAUGCCCACCAAGGGGGCGAUACGUAGCUGGUCUGAGUGGAGGAUCGGCCACACGGGAGCGUGACCACGGUCCAGAGUACUACGGGACGGAGCAGUGGCGAAUAGGAGGCAACGGUGGCAAACCUGACCCAGCGAUACCGCGUAGGUGAAGAAGGCCUUCGGGUUGUAAAGCCCUUUUGUUGGGAAAGAAAAGCAGCAGGUUAAUACGCCGCUGUUCUGACGGUACCCAAAGAAGAAGCACCGGCUAACUUCGUG